rnacentral:rRNA from 1 species
GAUGAACGCUGGCGGCGUGCCUAAUACAUGCAAGUCGAGCGAACGGACGAGAAGCUUGCUUCUCUGAUGUUAGCGGCGGACGGGUGAGUAACACGUGGAUAACCUACCUAUAAGACUGGGAUAACUUCGGGAAACCGUAGCUAAUACCGGAGAAUAUUUUGAACCGCAUGGUUCAAAAGUGAAAGACGGUCUUGCUGUCACUUAUAGAUGGAUCCGCGCUGCAUUAGCUAGUUGGUAAGGUAACGGCUUACCAAGGCAACGAUGCAUAGCCGACCUGAGAGGGUGAUCGGCCACACUGGAACUGAGACACGGUCCAGACUCCUACGGGAGGCAGCAGUAGGGAAUCUUCCGCAAUGGGCGAAAGCCUGACGGAGCAACGCCGCGUGAGUGAUGAAGGUCUUCGGAUCGUAAAACUCUGUUAUUAGGGAAGAACAUAUGUGUAAGUACCUGUGCACAUCUUGACGGUACCUAAUCAGAAAGCCACGGCUAACUACGUG